rnacentral:rRNA from 1 species
AGGCCUUAUACAUGCAAGUCGAGGGGCAGCAUUUACUUCGGUAAAUGGCGACCGGCGCACGGGUGAGUAACGCGUAUGCAACCUACCUUUAACUGGGGCAUAGCUCGAGGAAACUCGAAUUAAUUCCCCAUAGUACAAUAUAAUAUCGCAUGAUAUAAUUGUUAAAGAUUUAUCGGUUAAAGAUGGGCAUGCGUCUGAUUAGCUUGUUGGUAAGGUAACGGCUUACCAAGGCAACGAUCAGUAGGGGGUCUGAGAGGAUGAUCCCCCACACUGGUACUGAGACACGGACCAGACGUCUACGGACGGCAGCAGUAAGGAAUAUUGGGCAAUGGGCGCAAGCCUGACCCAGCCAUGCCGCGUGCAGGAUGACGACCCUAUGGGUUGUAAACUGCUUUUAUAUAGGAAGAAAAUACUCUUGCGAGAGGAUCUGACGGUACUAUAUGAAUAAGGACCGGCUAACUCCGUGCCAGCAGCCGCGGUAAUACGGAGGGUUCAAGCGUUUUCCGGAUUUAUUGGGUUUAAAGGGUGCGUAGGUGGUUUAUUAAGUCAGUGGUGAAAUCCUGCAGCUCAACUGUAGAACUGCCAUUGAUACUGGUAAACUUGAGUUUGGUUUAGGUAAGCGGAAUUUAUGAUGUAGCGGUGAAAUGCAUAGAUAUCAUAAGGAACACCAAUAGCGAAGGCAGCUUACUGGACCAUAACUGACACUGAGGCACGAAAGCGUGGGUAGCGAACAGGAUUAGAUACCCUGGUAGUCCACGCCGUAAACGAUGCUCACUCGAUGUUAGCGAUAUACUGUUAGCGUCCAAGCUAAAGCGUUAAGUGAGCCACCUGGGGAGUACGCCGG